rnacentral:rRNA from 1 species
UCGGGAAUUUUGGGCAAUGGGGGAAACCCUGACCCAGCAACGCCGCGUGAGGGAUGAAGGCCUUCGGGUCGUAAACCUCUGUCGGGAGGGAAGAAUGGUCGUUGGUCCAAUAGGCCUUCGGCUUGACGGUACCUCCAAAGGAAGCACCGGCUAACUCCGUGCCAGCAGCCGCGGUAAUACGGAGGGUGCAAGCGUUGUUCGGAAUUACUGGGCGUAAAGCGCGUGUAGGCGGCUUGGCAAGUCGGAUGUGAAAGCCCGAGGCCCAACCUCGGAACUGCAUUCGAAACUGCCAGGCUAGAGUCCCGGAGAGGGUGGUGGAAUUCCCAGUGUAGAGGUGAAAUUCGUAGAUAUUGGGAGGAACACCAGUGGCGAAGGCGGCCACCUGGACGGUGACUGACGCUGAGACGCGAAAGCGUGGGGAGCAAACAGGAUUAGAUACCCCCGUAGUCC